rnacentral:rRNA from 1 species
GGUUAAGCGACUAAGCGUACACGGUGGAUGCCCUGGCAGUCAGAGGCGAUGAAGGACGUGCUAAUCUGCGAAAAGCGUCGGUAAGGUGAUAUGAACCGUUAYARCCGGCGAUGUCCGAAUGGGGAAACCCAGUGCAAUUCGUUGCACUAUCGUUAACUGAAUACAUAGGUUAACGAGGCGAACCGGGGGAACUGAAACAUCUAAGUACCCCGAGGAAAAGAAAUCAACCGAGAUUCCCCCAGUAGCGGCGAGCGAACGGGGAGCAGCCCAGAGUCUGAAUCAGCUUGUGUGUUAGUGGAACGGUCUGGAAAGUCCGACGGUACAGGGUGAUAGUCCCGUACACCAAAAUGCACAGGYUGUGAACUCGAAGAGUAGGGCGGGACACGUGGUAUCCUGUCUGAAUAUGGGGGGACCAUCCUCCAAGGCUAAAUACUCCUGACUGACCGAUAGUGAACCAGUACCGUGAGGGAAAGGCGAAAAGAACCCCGGCGAGGGGAGUGAAAAAGAACCUGAAACCGUGUACGUACAAGCAGUGGGAGCACCUUCGGGUGUGACUGCGUACCUUUUGUAUAAUGGGUCAGCGACUUAUAUUCUGUAGCAAGGUUAACCGUAUAGGGGAGCCGCAGGGAAACCGAGUCUUAACAUAGGGGAGCCGCAGGGAAACCGAGUCUUAACUGGGCGUU